AGCCGGCGUCCGAGAAGACGAUCUAACUUGAUCAUUUAGAGGAAGUAAAAGUCGUAACAAGGUUUCCGUAGCUGAACCUGCGGAAGGAUCAUUA
rnacentral:ncRNA from 1 species